AGCAGCCGCCGCGGUAACACGGAGGAUCCAAGCGUUAUCCGGAAUCAUUGGGUUUAAAGGGUCCGUAGGCGGUCUUGUAAGUCAGUGGUGAAAGCCCAUCGCUCAACGGUGGAACGGCCAUUGAUACUGCAGGACUUGAAUUAUUGGGAAGUAACUAGAAUAUGUAGUGUAGCGGUGAAAUGCUUAGAGAUUACAUGGAAUACCAAUUGCGAAGGCAGGUUACUACCAAUUGAUUGACGCUGAUGGACGAAAGCGUGGGUAGCGAACAGGAUUAGAUACCCCUGUAGUCCCUGUCUCUUAUAC
rnacentral:rRNA from 1 species